ensembl:miRNA MIR4324 microRNA 4324
CGGCCCCUUUGUUAAGGGUCUCAGCUCCAGGGAACUUUAAAACCCUGAGACCCUAACCUUAAAGGUGCUGCA